AUAGUUGGUAGAGGCUAAGAACUUCGUCCUGUAUGUGGGCACCUGGGGCGAAGGAAGCCAAUGGUGCGACCGUCUACCGUUUAA
rnacentral:ncRNA from 1 species